rnacentral:rRNA from 1 species
AUACGUAGGUGGCGAGCGUUAUCCGGAAUUACUGGGUGUAAAGGGUGUGUAGGCGGGAAGGCAAGUCGGAUGUGAAAAUUAUGGGCUCAACCCAUAAAGUGCGACCGAAACUGUUUUUCUUGAGGAUCGGAGAGGGAAUGAGAAUUCCCGGUGUAGCGGGGAAAUGCGCAGAGAUCGGGAGGAAUACCGGUGGCGAAGGCGAAUUACUGGACGAUAACUGACGCUGAGACACGAAAGCGUGGGGAGCAAACAGGAUUAGAUACCCUGGUAGUCCACGCCCUAAACGAUGAAUGCUAGGUGUAGGGGAGUCAUCUUCUGUGCCGCAGCUAACGCAAUAAGUGCUCCGCCUGGGGAGUACGCUCGCAAGAGUAAAACUCAAAUGAAUUGGCGGGG